CCGGGCGGGAGCGGGCUGACCGGCCCGGCCCCGGCCGCAGCCCCAGCCGCAGCCGCACUAAUGAAGAGCUAAGGGAAGUAGCUGGUUUAAACGGGCUCCGAGGUCCAGCUCCUGCUCUGGGGGGUGUCUCUGCUUCGGGCUGGCGGGGUGCGUGGGGCACAAGGUCGCUCCGGCUCCCUGCUGCUCACUCAGCCUGCGGCCACUGCUGCACUACAGCCGCCCAGCUCACCGCUGCAGCGCUGGGUAAUAGUUUCAUGUUCAGAUGUCUGUUCACGUGGAGCACAAUGGACUAAUUGGAGCAUCAAAUCCAACACAGUAUCUUUGUAAGACUUGGGUGGGGAUUGUAGAGCAAUACUGAACGCUUAAAAGAUGUAACCAGUUAAGUAAAGCCUGCUUCAUUAGAAAGAGAUACCAGGGUAGAAAAAGAUUUAUUAUUUUUCUACUUAAAACAAUUAUUGAAUGCAAAUACAGACUGAAGGUCCAGUGUCAUUUACAGUAACUCCUCACUUAAUAUUGUAGUUAUGUUCCUGAAAAAUACUACUUUGAGUGAAAUGAUGGUAAGCAAAUCCAAUUUCCCCAUAAGAAUUAAUGUAAAUUGUGGGGGAUUAGAUUCCAGGGAAAUUUUUUUCACCAGACAAGACAUCAUAUUCAUAUACUGUGUGUGUGUAAUUUUUAUAUUACACACACAGUAUAAGUUUUAAUACUGUACACAGCAAUGACGACCGCAUGGCAGAGAGAGACACACACACACACACACCAUGUGUAAGAGAGAGAGCUGUGCAUUGCCCCUUUAGGUACACUGACCCCACUCUUAAGUACAUUGUUGGCAGCAGCUGCUGUCUCAACUUGCUGAUCUACUUAAAAAGGCAAGCUCCCUUCGUCCUGAGCCCUGUCAUGGCCCCCUGCUCUGUGGGGAACUUACGUGGGGGGGGCUGCUGGUCCACCCUGUUUCCAAGCCCCACCAGCUAGCUCCAACAGGCUGCUCUUUCUGCAAGCAGUGGACAAAGCAGGCGGCGGCUGAAUAACAUUAUAAGGGAGCAUUGCACAACUUUAAAUGAGCAUGUCUAAUUGAUCAGCAACAAAACAACAUUCACUGGGAUGACUAAGUGAGGAGUUACUGUACUGACUUUGAAAUUAUAUAAAUCUUAGAUCAUGACACUAAUGAAUCACUGACUUAAAAUUAACUUAAAAGGUUCAAAGUCCAUAGGACUAAGCAUAAUUCAACAGAAAUGUCAGUGAUCAGUCAUGGGCUGCAAUAAGGAGACAAACUGUUUUCUUCACUUCUGCUAGCUGAGAGUGAGCAGCGCUACUGGACACCAAAAGAUCCUGGAAAAAAAUUAAUCCUAAAACCACCUUUUCAAUAAACACUCUAGCCCCAGUCUGGUAGCCUUUAUUUACAUGAGCAGUUGUACUGGAGUCAGUGGCACUAUGUUUGUAGAUUUGUGUAAUCAAGCCUUCUGGGACUGGCCAUGUUGUAAGGUUGUAUUAUUCUCCUGGAGCACCAUGGUUAUCAAUUUUUCAGAAAAAAUGUAACAACUGUUGGGAAAUAUUUGCUGAAGCAAGAUGUAAUGGAUGAUAUGAAUUAAUUCCAAAUCUGAGCUAUAUUAAAAAGGCUUGUAAAAUCUA